rnacentral:rRNA from 1 species
CCUUCGGGUCGUAAAGUUCUUUCGACAGGGAAGAAAAUGCCUAUAAGUAACUGUGUAUGUAUUGACGGUACCUGUAUAAGCAGCCCCGGCUAACUCCGUGCCAGCAGCCGCGGUAAUACGGAGGGGGCGAGCGUUGUUCGGAGUGACUGGGCGUAAAGAGCACGUAGGCAGUGUUGUAAGUCAUUAGUCAAAGACUAGAGCUCAACUUUAGUAAGGCUAGUGAUACUAUAAUACUAGAGUAUCAGAGAGGAUUGCAGAAUUCCUGGUGUAGCGGUGAAAUGCGUAGAUAUCAGGAGGAAUACCGUUAGCGAAGGCGGCAAUCUGGCUGGAAACUGACGCUGAGGUGCGAAAGCGUGGGUAGCAAACAGGAUUAGAUACCCUGGUAGUCCACGCUGUAAACGAUGGAUGCUAGGUGUUGGG